rnacentral:rRNA from 1 species
AACGAACGCUGGCGGCGUGCUUAACACAUGCAAGUCGAACGAUGUCUGCUUUGUAGCAAUACAAAGUAGGCAUAGUGGCGCACGGGUGCGUAACACGUGAGUAAUCUGCCUCCGAGACUGGGAUAACCUGCCGAAAGGCGGGCUAAUACCGGAUGAGACCACGACUCCUUUGGGGUUGGGGUCAAAGAUGGCCUCUAUUUAUAAGCUAUCACUUGGAGAUGAGCUCGCGGCCCAUCAGCUAGUUGGCGGGGUAAUGGCCCACCAAGGCUAUGACGGGUAGCUGGUCUGAGAGGACGACCAGUCACACUGGAACUGAGACACGGUCCAGACUCCUACGGGAGGCAGCAGUGGGGAAUAUUGCGCAAUGGGCGAAAGCCUGACGCAGCAACGCCGCGUGGGUGAUGAAGGCCUUCGGGUCGUAAAGCCCUGUCAACAGGGAAGAAACUUCGGGGAGCGAAUAGGUCUCCGAAUUGACGGUACCUGUGGAGGAAGCACCGGCUAACUCCGUG